AGUGCACAUGGUGGAUGCCUUGGCGAUUACAGGCGAUGAAGGACGUAGUAGCCUGCGAAAAGCUACGGGGAGCUGGCAAACGAGCUUUGAUCCGUAGAUAUCCGAAUGGGGAAACCCGGCGCGCAAGCGUCACUCCCACCUGAAUAUAUAGGGUGGGUAGAGCGAACGCAGCGAACUGAAACAUCUAAGUAGCUGCAGGAAAAGAAAUCAACCGAGAUUCCCAAAGUAGUGGCGAGCGAAAUGGGAAGAGCCUGUAUGUGAUAGUCAACUGGUUAGUGGAACGGAAUGGAAAGUCCGGCGAUAGAGGGUGAUAGCCCCGUACACGAAAACUGGUUGGUGGUACUGAGCAUACGACAAGUAGGGCGGGGCACGAGAAACCUUGUCUGAACAUGGGGGGACCAUCCUCCAAGGCUAAAUACUCGUAAUCGACCGAUAGUGAACCAGUACCGUGAGGAAGGCGAAAGAACCCGGAGGGGAGUGAAAUAGAACCUGAACCGUGUGCAUA
rnacentral:rRNA from 1 species